AUUGAACGCUGGCGGCAUGCCUUACACAUGCAAGUCGAACGGCAGCACGGGUGCUUGCUCCUGGUGGCGAGUGGCGAACGGGUGAGUAAUACAUCGGAACAUGUCCUGUAGUGGGGGAUAGCCCGGCGAAAGCCGGAUUAAUACCGCAUACGAUCUACGGAUGACAGCGGGGGACCUUCGGGCCUCGCGCUAUAGGGUUGGCCGAUGGCUGAUUAGCUAGUUGGUGGGGUAAAGGCCUACCCAGGCGACGAUCAGUAGCUGGUCUGUGAGGACGACCAGCCACACUGGGACUGAGACACGGCCCAGACGCCUACGGGAGGCAGCCGUGGGGAAUUUUGGAGAAUGGGCGAAAGCCUGAUCAAGCAAUGCCGCGUGUGUGAAGAAGGCCUUCGGGUUGGAAAGCACGUUUGUCCGGAAAGAAAUCCUUGGCGCUAAUACGGUCGGGGGAUGACGGUAACGGAAGAAUAAGCAACGGCUAACUACGGG
rnacentral:rRNA from 1 species